UACAGAGGGUGCGAGCGUUAAUCGGAAUUACUGGGCGUAAAGCGUGCGUAGACGGCUAUCUAAGUCGGGUGUGAAAGCCCCGGGCUCAACCUGGGAAUUGCAUUCGAGACUGAAUAGCUAGGGUACGGUAGAGGGAAGUGGAAUUUCCGGUGUAGCGGUGAAAUGCGUUGAUAUCGAUAGGAACUCCGGUGGCGAAGGCGGCAUACUGGACCACAUCUGACGCUGAGGCGCGAAAGCCAGGGGAGCAAACGGG
rnacentral:rRNA from 1 species